UGUCUGUGAUUGGCUGUGCAACCAGAUGUGACAUUCUGUUUUCUGAAACAGAUCUAGGCUGCAGAGCGUUCCUCUGCGGAGAUCCUUGGGUAGGAUCAAUGGAGAAGAGUCCUUUGGCAGCCUCGUUGCUAAUCUUGUGGCUUCAUCUUGGCCGAGUGUGCAGCGUAUUGGAUGUGAACCAGUAUCCUCUGUCGCUUCAUGUUCACGAAGGAGAAAACACCAAUUUCACCUGCCAUUUUCCUACCAGCAGUUUUUAUGGUUUACAGUGGUACAGAUGGGAACCUGCAAAAAGCCCCAAGUUCCUGUUUACAAUUGCUUUAAAUGGGGAUGAAAAGGAGGAAGGACGAGUAAAAGUCACUCUUGAUACUAAGAAGGGUUCUAGCUCCUUGUACAUCAAAGGAUCCCAGCUGGAAGAUGCUGCCACAUACAUCUGUGCCUUGACAGACACAGUGCUCUCCAGGCACCUGCAGCCCAUACCCAAACCCGUGGCUGGUGCCACUCUGGUCUCAGCGUUGACAAGUGCCAUGUGCAGGGUGGAAAAGGCAAAUUCACUGAGUUACAGUGUUUUCAAUAAUCAGAGGAAAGUGCAGACCCAGAUACACAAACCUUCCAGUCACUGUAGCUCCCUCAAUUAACUGGACUAUUACUAAGCCCCACUGACCUCAACUCCCACCGAUAUAUAAGCUGUGUCACUGAGUCAGGUCCCUUGCUUCCUCUUUUGGCAUAACCGAUUCCAGGUGCACUAGAUGGUUACUCCAACCUAGGUAAAGUAAUCUGGUUAAACUAGGAUAAUAUUUACUCCUCACUGUUGCUACAUCCUAAGCACUAGUCAUUCGGUCAUGUCUGUUCACAUGCAUGAGUGGAACAUGUGAAUGUGCCCUCUUCUCACUCCUGGCAAGGAGAUCUGCCUGUGUCAUACCCGGAACAGGCAAUGCCAAUUUUGGUUUUGGUUCAGUUCAACUUGCCCCUUACGUGAUCUGGAUUUCAUCUCUUCUCAUAUAUGGAUAUUUGCAUUUUUAAAAAUCACUUGGGAGGCCUGAAAGGAGCACGGAUGAGGGAAGCUCACUAUUAUGCUUGAUCUAUCCCCUAGUUUGUACUGGGAUUGCGAUAUUGAA